AGUGAACGCUGGCGGUAGGCCUAACACAUGCAAGUCGAACGGCAGCACAGUAAGAGCUUGCUCUUACGGGUGGCGAGUGGCGGACGGGUGAGGAAUACAUCGGAAUCUACUUUUUCGUGGGGGAUAACGUAGGGAAACUUACGCUAAUACCGCAUACGACCUACGGGUGAAAGCGGGGGAUCUUCGGACCUUGCGCGAUUGAAUGAGCCGAUGUCGGAUUAGCUAGUUGGCGGGGUAAAGGCCCACCAAGGCGACGAUCCGUAGCUGGUCUGAGAGGAUGAUCAGCCACACUGGAACUGAGACACGGUCCAGACUCCUACGGGAGGCAGCAGUGGGGAAUAUUGGACAAUGGGCGCAAGCCUGAUCCAGCCAUACCGCGUGGGUGAAGAAGGCCUUCUGGUUGUAAAGCCCUUUUGUUGGGAAAGAAAAGCAGCAGGUUAAUACCCCGCUGUUCUGACGGUACCCAAAGAAUAAGCACCGGCUAACUUCGUG
rnacentral:rRNA from 1 species